CCUACGGGAGGCAGCAGUGGGGAAUAUUGCGCAAUGGGCGAAAGCCUGACGCAGCGACGCCGCGUGAGGGAUGAAGGUCUUCGGAUCGUAAACCUCUGUCAGCAGGGAAGAACGGUCACUGUGCUAAUCAGCAGUGAAUUGACGGUACCUGCAAAGGAAGCACCGGCUAACUCCGUGCCAGCAGCCGCGGUAAUACGGAGGGUGGGAGCGUUAAUCGGAAUUACUGGGCGUAAAGCGCACGUAGGCGGUCUGUCAAGUCAAGGGGGAAAUCCCCGAGCUCAACGCGGGAACUGCCGUUGAAACUGGCAAACUUGAGUGGGUGAGAGGAUAGUGGAAUUCCAGGUGUAGGAGUGAAAUCCGUAGAUAUCUGGCGGAACAUCAGUGGCGAAGGCGACUAUCUGGCACAUAACUGACGCUGAGGAGCGAAAGCGUGGGUAGCAAACAGGAUUAGAUACCCCAGUAGUC
rnacentral:rRNA from 1 species